rnacentral:rRNA from 1 species
GAUGAACGCUGGCGGCGUGCCUAAUACAUGCAAGUCGAGCGAACAGACGAGGAGCUUGCUCCUCUGACGUUAGCGGCGGACGGGUGAGUAACACAUGGAUAACCUACCUAUAAGACUGGGAUAACUUCGGGAAACCGGAGCUAAUACCGGAUAAUAUAUUGAACCGCAUGGUUCAAUAGUGAAAGACGGUUUUGCUGUCACUUAUAGAUGGAUCCGCGCCGCAUUAGCUAGUUGGUAAGGUAACGGCUUACCAAGGCAACGAUGCGUAGCCGACCUGAGAGGGUGAUCGGCCACACUGGAACUGAGACACGGUCCAGACUCCUACGGGAGGCAGCAGUAGGAAAUCUUCCGCAAUGGGCGAAAGCCUGACGGAGCAACGCCGCGUGAGUGAUGAAGGUCUUCGGAUCGUAAAACUCUGUUAUUAGGGAAGAACAAAUGUGUAAGUAACUAUGCACGUCUUGACGGUACCUAAUCAGAAAGCCACGGCUAACUACGUG